rnacentral:rRNA from 1 species
UGGGGAAUCUUGCGCAAUGGGCGAAAGCCUGACGCAGCCAUGCCGCGUGAAUGAUGAAGGUCUUAGGAUUGUAAAAAUUCUUUCACCGGGGACGAUAAUGACGGUACCCGGAGAAGAAGCCCCGGCUAACUUCGUGCCAGCAGCCGCGGUAAUACGAAGGGGGCUAGCGUUGCUCGGAAUUACUGGGCGUAAAGGGCGCGUAGGCGGACAUUUAAGUCAGGGGUGAAAUCCCAGAGCUCAACUCUGGAACUGCCUUUGAUACUGGGUGUCUUGAGUGUGAGAGAGGUAUGUGGAACUCCGAGUGUAGAGGUGAAAUUCGUAGAUAUUCGGAAGAACACCAGUGGCGAAGGCGACAUACUGGCUCAUUACUGACGCUGAGGCGCGAAAGCGUGGGGAGCAAACAGGAUUAGAUACCCCUGUAGUCCCUGAGCGGGCUGGCAAGGCGCAU